UGUGAGUAAUCUAUAUUUUAUUACCGGCUGGUGUAGCGGUAUCUAAGUUACUAGAAGGCUAGGGAACCACGCUAACAAGUAGUGGUCACCAGACUAGGACAGUCUGUGCGUAGCCGUUGAGAAGUGUACAAGAAAGAAAAGCAAGUCGCAUCCUAACAAUAAAAAUCAUAAAACAAAAAUUCAGUCUAAUAUUAUCUUUACUAUAGAGAAACCCUCUACACUGGUACAAUGUGUAUCGUCAUCUAGCGGUACUAGCUAUUAUUUCAUUGAACCGACUAGUAAAAUUAUGCAGCCAUCUAGCGGAAGUAAAUGUUACUAUGUCUUACCGACUUGUAGAAUAUGUUUCGCCAUCUAGAAAAAAGAUAAAACAUCACUAGGAUAAAAUCAAGAUGGCUACCUGUCAAUGUACUCUGAAUACCGUAAAUACAGACUAUGUGCAGUGUAAAGCAUUUAAUUAAAAAAAUCCUUAGUGAUGCAAUAAUCAAGUGAAUAAUAUUUUUUAUUUAUAAUAAUUCGUUUUAUAUUCUUUAUUUAGUGAUCGCCAAUUCUGGAUGAAAAUAAUUAAACCGGAUAAAGUGCUGUGGGACAAUGUUAUGUCAUAACCUAAGAAAAGUAAUUUUCUUAAUUAAAUCCGAAAAUACAGAUGAAUUCCAGACGUUCUUUUUAUCAAAUUAUUAUAACAAAUACUAGUCAACAUGCAGAUCUAUAUUUUUAAUUCCAAUCCAAGAACAUUAUACUCACGAAAAGAAGAAUUCAUUACACCAUUCAAUCAAUGGAGAUAUGUAUUUCAUUUUCUUACGGCUAACGAUUAGAAGAUUUGUAUUGAUUAUGUUAUCCGAACAAGAGUUUUAUUCUAUAAUAUUAUGUAAAUAGAAUGCAGUUGCAGUAACAAAGAAUAAUCACGACAAGAAUCUGUCGAAAGGGGAGGGAAAUAAUUUGACUAGAAGUUUCUACUCAUUAUUAUCAAGAUUGAUAAGAAGAAUCUAACAGUACUGCAACUAUGAAAGAUUUUUGAUUGCACUGAUCUUAUUAUACUUAUAUUUGGAAGAAACCAUAUGCAGUAUUAUCCUAUCAAAAUAAUACCAGAAGAAAUGCAUCCUAGUUAUCACAAAUUAAGAAAACAAAAGGCAAAUACAUUAUAUAAGGGAACUCUAUUUUAGAAGAAUAUCUUUUACAAAGUUUUGUACACGAGAUUCAAUGUGAAUUAUUAUGCAAAUAGAAUGCAGCAGCAGUGUCAAGAAAUAAUUAAAAUCAUAAAUUGUAAAAAGUGAUUUUUUUUUUCAACAGAGAUGUUAAAUCGUUUGACUGCAAGACACUACGCAUUACUUUUAACAACUAUAAGAAGAAUCUAACAAUACUGCAACCAUGAAAGAUUUUUGAAGAUACUACCCUCAUUAUACUUACAGUUGGAAAAAACCAUACUUAGUUCUAUCCUGUCAAUUGAAUUUCAGAAGGAAUGCAUCCUAGUUAUCACAAAUUGAGAAAACAAAUGGCAAAUACAUUCUAAUAUGCAGUUCUUAAUAUGUACUAAAUUUAUUAAUGUACWUCUUACUGGGAAUUUGAAAAUAUUACUGGGAAUCGACUAAGAUCAGAAAACUUUAUAUAUUUGUAAGAACUCAUGUCUUUUUUAUAGAAAUACCCCCAUGUAUUUUAUUGUGUAAAUAGAAUGCAGCUGUAGUGAGAAAAAAAAUUCUAGACAAUAAUAUGUUUAAAGGAUCUCCUGAACAUAGAAGUUGAUUGUUCAUAGAUGUCACUACACCCUCUGUUUAAUUAGGGAUCCUGUAGGAGGGAUGUGCCAUUGGCUGAAAAUUUUGGGGGACCACUUGAAUUUAUAAUAAUUUUUUCG